GGUGAUCUUUCAAGCAGUGCCAGUUUAUACAAUACCAACUUUACCUUUCAGGUAAAUGGGAAUAUUUGUCAAAUGUGAAUAAGUCAUCAAUAUAGUGUGGUUAAGAAGCAUAUAGUAUUUGCCAUUGACUGCAUACUCAACAUGAUUCCAAAGAUGUAGCCUGAACAGAAUAAUAAUAGGCAUAGCGUGGUUGAACUUGAUAUAUUUUAACAAAUAUACUGUCUUCCCAGCAGCUACAAGUAAAAAACCCCAACCCCAC